CUGCCCUCAAGCACGGCUUGUGUGUUGGGUGUGGUCCCCCCGGGGACCUGCCCGAAAGGCAGCGGCGACGUCCGUCUGGUCCUCGAGCGUAUGGGGCUUUGUCACUCGCUCGGGAAGGACCUGCGGGGGUUGGUCACCACCAUAUUUUUUUACCAC
rnacentral:misc_RNA from 1 species